rnacentral:rRNA from 1 species
GGAUUGCCCUAGUAACGGCGAGUGAAGCGGCAACAGCUCAAAUUUGAAAUCUGGCCCCUCCGGGGUCCGAGUUGUAAUUUGCAGAGGGUGCUUCGGCGUUGGCCCCGGGUCAAGUCCCCUGGAACGGGGCGCCCUAGAGGGUGAGAACCCCGUACCCACCCGGGUGCCCUUCGCCGUGUGAAGCCCCUUCGACGAGUCGAGUUGUUUGGGAAUGCAGCUCUAAGCGGGAGGUAAAUUUCUUCUAAAGCUAAAUACCGGCCAGAGACCGAUAGCGCACAAGUAGAGUGAUCGAAAGAUGAAAAGCACUUUGGAAAGAGAGUUAAAAAGCACGUGAAAUUGUUGAAAGGGAAGCUCUUGCCGCCAGACUUGCCACGGCUGCUCAGCCGCCCCCCGGGGCGGUGUACUCUUCCGUCGGCAGGCCAGCGUCGGUUCGGGCGGCCGGACAAAGGCCCUGGGAAUGUAGCACCCCUCGGGGUGUGUUAUAGCCCGGGGCGUAAUGCGGUCAGCCCGGUCCGAGGCACGCGUUCGCGAGGACGCUGGCGUAAUGGUUGCAAGCGACCCGUCUUGAAACACGGACCAAGGAGUCUAACAUCUGUGCGAGUGUUUGGGCGUCAAACCCAUGCGCGUAAUGAAAGUGAACGGAGGUGGGAACCCCCUCGAGGGGCGCACCAUCGACCGAUCCUGAUGUCUUCGGAUGGAUUUGAGUAAGAGCAUAGCUGUUGGGACCCGAAAGAUGGUGAACUAUUCCCGGAUAGGGUGAAGCCAGAGGAAACUCUGGUGGAGGCUCGCAGCGGUUCUGACGUGCAAAUCGAUCGUCAAAUCUAGGAAUAGGGGCGAAAGACUAAUCGAACC